AACGAACGCUGGCGGCAGGCCUAACACAUGCAAGUCGAGCGAGGACUUCGGUUCUAGCGGCGGACGGGUGAGUAACGCGUGGGAACGUGCCCUUUGCUACGGGAUAGCCCUGGGAAACUGGGAGUAAUACCGUAUGUGCCCUUUGGGGGAAAGAUUUAUCGGCAAAGGAUCGGCCCGCGUUGGAUUAGGUAGUUGGUGGGGUAAUGGCCUACCAAGCCGACGAUCCAUAGCUGGUUUGAGAGGAUGAUCAGCCACACUGGGACUGAGACACGGCCCAGACUCCUACGGGAGGCAGCAGUGGGGAAUCUUAGACAAUGGGCGCAAGCCUGAUCUAGCCAUGCCGCGUGAGCGAUGAAGGCCUUAGGGUUGUAAAGCUCUUUCAGGGGGGAAGAUAAUGACUGUACCCCCAGAAGAAGCCCCGGGCUAAACUCCGUG
rnacentral:rRNA from 1 species